rnacentral:rRNA from 1 species
CGUGCCUAACACAUGCAAGUCGAACGGAACUGUUUUGAAAGAUUUCCUCGGAAUGAUUUUGAUUAAGUUUAGUGGCGGACGGGUGAGUAACGCGUGAGUAACCUGCCUCUAAGAGGGGAAUAACAUUCUGAAAAGAAUGCUAAUACCGCAUAACAUAUAUUUAUCGCAUGGUAGAUAUAUCAAAGAUUUAUCGCUUAGAGAUGGACUCGCGUCCGAUUAGUUAGUUGGUGAGGUAACGGCUCACCAAGACCGCGAUCGGUAGCCGGACUGAGAGGUUGAACGGCCACAUUGGGACUGAGACACGGCCCAGACUCCUACGGGAGGCAGCAGUGGGGGAUAUUGCGCAAUGGGGGAAACCCUGACGCAGCAACGCCGCGUGAAGGAUGAAGGUCUUCGGAUUGUAAACUUCUUUUAUUAAGGACGAAGAAAAGUGACGGUACUUAAUGAAUAAGCUCCCGGCUAACUACGUGCCAGCAGCCGCGGUAAUACGUAGGGAGCAAGCGUUGUCCGGAUUUACUGGGUGUAAAGGGUGCGUAGGCGGCUUUGCAAGUUAGAUGUGAAAUCUAUGGGCUCAACCCAUAGCCUGCAUUUGAAACUGCAGAGCUUGAGUGAAGUAGAGGCAGGCGGAAUUCCCCGUGUAGCGGUGAAAUGCGUAGAGAUGGGGAGGAACACCAGUGGCGAAGGCGGCCUGCUGGGCUUUAACUGACGCUGAGGCACGAAAGCGUGGGUAGCAAACAGGAUUAGAUACCCUGGUAGUCCACGCUGUAAACGAUGAUUACUAGGUGUGGGGGGUCUGACCCCUUCCGUGCCGGAGUUAACACAAUAAGUAAUCCACCUGGGGAGUACGGCCGCAAGGUUGAAACUCAAAUGAAUUGACGG